rnacentral:tRNA from 11 species
GGAGGGGUUCCCGAGUGGCCAAAGGGAUCAGACUGUAAAUCUGACGUCUUCGACUUCGAAGGUUCGAAUCCUUCCCCCUCCACCA